CUUUGCCUAACCCCCACCUGGCCCUCCCUUCACACAGCUCCAUGCCGUACUCUCAGGCCCCUCCGCUCCCUGUGAGGAGCUGUAGGCUGCCAUGAGGCCUCCCCUCAGUCUGCUCUGCUCUGGGCCCAGCAAACCCAGGGGUCUCAGCCGCUCCUCACGCGUCUUCCCCUCCAUACCCUUCCCCAUCUUUUGUUCAACAAAAUGUACGGAUGCCAAAGCUCGAAAGCAAGAACAAUCUAGUUGUACACAGAAGGGGUCAGGAAUGUAUUUUCCAUAGCAGCCUGAUAUUAGAGGAAAUACAAAUUGCCUGAAACAACUUGAAAAGCAAGUACCUGCUCCUCGGCCCACGGUGGGCCACGGCAAAAAUGCUGCUUUGUAUUUCUCAGAAAGAACAUCAGGAAAUAAAAAUUGUGCUCAGCCCCAGGUACCCAACUUCAGUUGCUAUUUGUCCUGCAGCUCGAGAUCAGGCCAACAUUUGUCCAGCAGCUCUAAACACACAUGGCUGAGGAAGCAGAAAUGUUAAAUACCAUAAGCAGAAAUCUUGGAAAUAUUUAAACUUUCUCAUAAGAAAACAUGAAGUUAGAAGAUUAUAUUUUUUUUUCUCAGCUACCAUGGAGGUUUUAUACAUUGUUAAUGCUUUCACUAUGUCCUGCUGAGAGCCCUUCCACUUUCCUCUCAGUGUGGCAGCCACUGCGGACAAUGAACUGAUUGUGAUGUUGGAAAAGCAACCGAUGCAGAUGGCUGAGAUGCCUGAUCUUAACCCUCUGUGAGAGGGAGAGAAGAGGCAUCUCUACUGAGCUCAGAGGAAUGGCUUUUGGUUGGGAGGAACAUCCAUCAUAAUGUCUUCUGGUUGGAAAAGUAAGUGAAUGAAUUUUGAAACAAGUGCUGUGUAUUUUUUAUGUAAGUUGCCGUUAAAUGGCUUUAUUUUAAAAAGCGGUGGUCACUUUAGUUCCAGAAGAGAGGAAAUUUAUGGUGAGAUGAAUAUUUUUGUAACAUUUCCUCUGUUCCCUUAAACAAAAAAAAGAACCUCGUCAGCAAAAUACAGCAUAGCAGCGUAUACCUCAGGUAGAAAAAAUAAUAAUAUUAGCCUGCAGGAAAUCUGGCUUCUCUGCAAAUUAUUCUUUCAUCCAGAAGAAAUAUUAUUUAUUUUCCAUCUAUCAUUAUUGAAAGCUGUAUUUGCUUAAUAAUUGACUGAAAUAGAGAGCUCUUAAAGCAGGCAUUCUGAAAGAUAGUUUUUCACAAAGUGCCUGGCAAUUUUUUUUCUGUUUCACACUGCUCUCCUGAGAACCAAGCAGAUCACACCCCUCUCCCUCCCCACCUUGUUUUCUGGGGCUUUAAUCUGUAUUGGAAAAUAUUGACACACUUCUUUAGUUACAUGAAAGCGACACUAAUGGGGAUCAGAUCUGACUUCAGAGAAAAGGGACUGUGAAGAAAAAUCACAGAAUGUUGCAAAUAAAAGGGAAAUUAAUCCAGGUAGAAAAUCUAUAGCUACUUUCUGCAAAUUAUUACCAAGCAUGAUGUGAAUUGCGCCUUUGAUUUGAGUGCUGGUUAGCACAGUGAAUGGAUUUUAAGCAGCAUAUUUUACACAGCCAGAGACAUGAAAAGCCUUGUUUUUAAAGAAGGCAUUGUUCUCUGCUUCUAUUUUUAUGACGGCAACACCUAGGAUCAUGACUCCAUUGUAUCAGGCCUGUGCAAACACAGGGGCAGAGACCAGCCUGGCUCUGCAGAGCAAACACGCUAACAAUGAAGGUGGAGAAGGAAAAUUUCCUGUUUCACAGCAGGGGAAGUGAGGUGCCCAGAGAUGAUGCAGCUCCUUGGGGCCAAGAGGGAAGCCUGAGGCCGCCAUGGGUGCAAAGCCCACAGCUUCAGGUUGGGUAUGAGGAAUAAGUUCUUCACUGAGAGGGUGGUUGGGCACUGGAACAGGCUGCCCAGGGCAGUGGGCAGAUCCCCGAGAUGCCAGAGUUCAAGGAGUGUUUGGGCUCUGCUCUCAGACUUAGGGUUUGGUUUUGGGUGGUGCUCUGGUGAGCCAGGAGUUGGACUCGAUGAUCCUUGUGAGUCCCUUCCAACUUGGGAUAUUCUAUGAUUCUCUGAUCUUCUGAGCUCUCAUCCAGGGCAGUAACCUCGUACACCCAGCCCUCUUGGUGUCAGACCAUGAGAUAACCUUUUCUUCCAGUUUGUGUCCUGUUAGAGUCUGAUGGAUUCCCUGAAACUCCUUCAGAAAGAGCAACCACAAAGAAUUAAGCUGCCAGGUUAAGUAAAGCAGGAAUCAACUCAGACACCUCUAAGCUCAAUUUCUGAAGCCUCUUCAGUUGCCUCAGAUUGGCAUUAUGAAGGAAAUCCCUGUGGCUCCCUUCAAACUCACAUGUGUAGGGAACACAACCAUGAAGCUGCAUUGGGAUGGAUGUGCACAGGGCAAGUUGAUGCUGGUUUUAGACUCUCUCUGAUGCUGCCUACAUGGGUGGAGGAAGCACUAUGUUUGUCUGGGAUGUGUCAUCUGUCUGUCUGUCUGCUGGCUCUGACACAAUGGGGUGCGCCGCUCUGCAAUUAGUGACCACAUUGUGUGCUUGCUAUGGCUUGUGGCAAAACAAAGUGGAAGGAAAGAGGAAGUGAGUGUGGACCACGGAGCUUUGGCCUACAACCUGAAGACGCUGUUGAGAGAAAAAAAAAAAAAAGUAUGACUUUUGCAUUAAGCGCUGGUAUUUUUAGUGCUUUGAGCGAAGCAACUUUUGUCUUUACCCUUUAUGCUUUUCUGCCCGUUUCAGCCUAAGGCUGGGUAAACCUGAUAAAUUUUCACUCUGGAAAGUGCAGAAGAUAGAAAAAGCUCAGCUGCUUUCACCUAGUGCACUUCGCCUUUUUCACAGAUCUCAAGAUUGUCCAGAGCUCCAAUCCAAGUGGAAGGACAAAACCACUGCAUGAAGCAGUGCCUCCACUUUGGCUGUAGGUUGUGCAUAACCAGGCAGGGAGCAUCUGCAAGGAUCGGGCUGUGCAAGCUCAGCCUCAUGGGAUUGCAGGAAGACAAUGCAGAUGCUGCUCAGUGCAUCUGUUCCAGGCAGCCCUUCCACCUUUGCCUGAUGAGCAAACCAUGAAAGUCUGAAGGUAAAGCUUUUUCCAAACAGCAACACCACCAAUGCAAAACCAAGCACAAUCCCACCUUGUUCUUCAGGACUUUGGUUAAAACAGAAUCUAUGGAAGUGCUAGUCAGGGAAAUGCUUGCAGACCUCUGGCACUGUGGCUCAGUGGCUGCAGGGAGGUGAGCUCUGCCUGUACCCGUGCUGACCCAGUGCUGUGAUGAACGUUGCGUGCUGUGGGACAAUAAACAGUUUACAUAUCCCUGUCCAGAGGCCACCACGAUCAUAGACUGCAGAGGACACUUUCCUACUACAGCUUGCCAACAGCACACUCUGUGUGUGUGUAUGUGUAUGUGUGUGCAUGCAGCAAUUGCUUUCUGUUGUGUGCUCCUUGGCCAAGUGACAUUUUCCACAGAUGGUGCCUGAGUUCAGUCUGCACCUGCAUGUGUGUGUAAAUGGGGCCACAAUUAUCCAGUUUGUUGGAACUGUGCUUUCAGCCCUAAGCCCAUUUUCCCCCUUCCAUAUGCUUAGAGUGAAAGAAUUUGAUCUCUUGCAUACACCAAAUUUUUACUGCAAUAGAUGCUCUACAAUUACUGUCCUCUCCUACUGUACAAAUCAAAUCUGUUGUUCAUUUAUUUCCCCUCUGGCAUUCAGCCUCUUUGUCUGUUGUUGUUUUCUAAGCAUUUCUCAUCAUAGCCAAAAAGCAAGCUGCAGUAUCUGGAAGCUAUACCUACAUUAUUAAAUAACUCUGAGAAUACUUAUGGGGAGAUGGGCUUUUUCUGGCUUGAAAACCAUACCAGAGUGAAAGGGCUGAAUUUCAUUUUGCUAAGGUUCUUGCAGGGAUGCUAGAACAAAUGGGCAGCUCUUUCAGUGUAGUAUAAACAUAGCAAGAUCUAAGUGCUUCCUGGUCCUCGUGGAGAAUGAGCAUUUAGAGACGUAGGUCUGGGGGUGGCUUCCUGGGUUGUUUCAUCCUCGGAGCUGACUUAAAUAGGUUGGAGCUAGAGGUGGCCAUGGGAGGUGAUUCAGUGACUGCUGCAAUGUGUAAGGGUUCAGGAUCCAUUGUAAGUCAGAACCAUGAUUUGGAGGGGAGUGGAAAUGCUCAGUGCACAGGUAGGGUUGCAGACUUCUUGCAUUGCUGAAUUUUGAACCUUGCAGCAUCAGUUUAAAUCCAUCAUGUGGAGUGCACAUCUCAAUGGAAAUCCCUCUGCCCAAACCGAACGGAGGCAGCAGAGAUGUAGCAGAGGUAUGUGACACAGCAGCUCGGCAUGGAGCGGGAUGGACGGAGCUGUCUGGCUGAUGGUGAUGCACACAGCUAUUUUUGGCAAUUGCACUGCCUAGGCAGUGUUGAGUCUGGUCUGAUGCAAACUGGCAUGCUUCACUGCUGAGGCUCAUAUGGCAAACACUGAUGCUUGGCAUAUAUUCUUGAAUUGUUUCCCUCUUAACUUGCCAUACUUCUGUCUUUGCUAUCUGUUUUUAAUUCUGUCUCUGGUCCACACACAGUGAGGUGUCUGCAUUGUAUCACCGAGAAGGACUUAAUCAUGCCGUGCCCUAACUAUUGGGACACUGGUGCACCUCCUGCCGUCCUGAGAGUCAUGCAGCAGGUCAGCCUGGUGCUGCUGUGUGUAAGCUAUUUCGUGGUCAUGAAGUAUUGUCCUGCACCAGAUCCUGAUGCACCUACUGACUGUGGACAUGACUGCAGACCCAGGAGAGCCAAGUGCUAACCCACACAACUGAGGUGGUCAGGAUCUGGUCCCAUGCACAUCGUUUCUUUCAGUGAGUGGCAAUCUUUCUUCUGAUCCACGUGGACAUUUUGUGAAAAAAAGUCCUAAAUUUCAAGCCUUGCAGCUUGCACAUGUGUUCCUGCCAGCUACCAGGGACUAGUAAGGUUCCAGUUAGAACUGGCACUCUUGAUUUUCCUUGCCUUGCACUGGGAGAUAUGCGAGAGUUUGUUUAUGUGAGAUUUGGGAGAACAAAGGCAAAUUAAAUCCCACCCUUCCAAUAGGAUAUACAUUUUUUCAACCCUGAAGCAAAUUUUCUAUGUCUGUGUGUUUUGGCUUUUAAACUCAAUAGCCUGAAGGCAUUAACCACGUCAGCAAAGAAAUGGAAAGCUCAUUACUACACUAUUAGAAGGUUUAAAACUGAAAACCAGAGCCUAUAACAACAGAAAAUGGGAUAUCAAAGACAUGUCCCUCUGCUCGAUCCUUUCACUGAAUUGGAGCUGGAGGGAUGCUGUGAAGGUGUUUUGUUGUGCCUGCACACUCCUCAACCAUCUCAGAAUGUUGAGGUGUAAUGGCUUUUAAAAAAAAUUUAAAUAAGAUUGUUGCAUAUUCUCACUUGGCCAGAUAAGAAGAAUCAAAACAGAUAAUAGCAUGAGUUCUGGAGGUAAAGGAGUGCUAUGAAUGAGAAUUCACUCCCUCUCUGUUCUUCCCCCGAACAGUGCAUCUGUGACACCAGUACCCCGUGAGUUUCACAGGGCAGCUACCUCAGCCCUAUAAGUGCCAUACAGAUCACUCUACGCAUUUUACUGAAAAAAAACGGGGGGAAAAAAAAACACCAAAAACCAACAUUGUCAAUUUUGGCAGUUGGAGGUCAUUUAGGCUGUUCUCUGUGUAUGGCACUUGGAUAAAAGAUUGCCUUCUGCCGUGAGCUUCCUAUUCUCAAUUUCUCACUGGUCCCUUUGGACUGUUACCCUGCUGCUCUCCAUCAUUUUUUUCCACUAAAUUCCCACCCGUGACACUUGCACUACUUGAACUUCUUCCCCACAGACAGUAUUUUCUGAACACUCUAUUCUAUUUUAUUUUUUGUGACUUUCGGGGGCAUUUCCCAUUUCCAGCAUAUCUUUCAGAAAGAUGCACUGAGCCGACUUGGUACAGCGUGAUACAAAUCCUACAUGCUUGUAUAGGACAUGUUUCCACUCCUAUGCCCUGUUGUUUUAAUCCUGCAGUGUCCUUUCCCAUGCUCAGGCAGGGCUGUGUGCAACCUCGCUUUGCACCCACGUGAGCGUGGUGCUUGCUCUGAGGUAUGCAGGUUGCGGUCAGAUGGGGAGUGCUAUUUCUGGAGGAUACUGCCGCCAAAAGCAAAGUGAAUCUGUCACAAAACCACUUCUACAUCAGCAACGAUUUUAAGGCUUCAUCUGCACGUAUUUCCUAGGAAGGAAAUCUCUUGUAUCCUGCACUGUUGGUUCCCUAAGGGGAAAAAUAUCUGCUUGGAGCAGAUCCUUUGGGAGAUUCAAAGUUCCCCUGAGGAAUGCAUCCCUGAGCCAAAAGCGUCAGGUGCAGCUGAUCACAGUAAGCCUGGGGCUGCCGAGGGGCUGGGAAGGUUGAUGAGGGUGGAAGCAUUUUGGGCUAGAAGCCACGAGCAGGCGUUGUGGAGGCUGACAACACCAUCCAACCUGUGCGCUUUUCUUGGAUAUGUGAUUUUUGCCAAGGUUUGCGGAGGGUGCUUGGGGGGCUGUGCUGGUUAAGCACAGUGGAAGCACAAGUGGAAACCACAGGUAUCGAAUCUCAGUUGCAGAAAGGAAGUGCAUUCUUCAGUGGGGCCUAGAUGUGUGGGAACCUCCAACAUUUUAUAUCAUUUCUAUGUGCUUCUGUUGAGUAUACUGGUGCUGACCUUUAAAAGGCAAACCCAAGAGAGCCAGGCUGGCUGGUUUUGCUUGCAGAGUUCUGCUACUGGGUCUUGGUAGUCACAAGUGCAAAACAUGGUUGGUGCUUAGGGCCACUGAUAAAACCCAAGGGAAUGGCAUGAAGUUGUGAUGGGGAGGCUGAGAUUGGAUAUUAGGAAAAAGUUCUUGACCAGACGUUGCUGGACAUGGCACAGGCUUCCCAGGGCAGGUGGCACAGCCCUGAGCUGCCAGAGUUCAAGGAGUGUUUGGAUAAUGGAUAAUGCUCUCAGAGGGUUUGGGUUUGGGUGGUCCUGUGUGGAGCCAGAGGUUGGACUCAGUGAUCUUCAAGAGUCCCUUCCAACUUGGGAUAUUUUAUGAUUUUUUAAUUUCUGAGACAUGGCAGUGGUAUAUAAAAAUUCUUUGGUCCUGGUAAGAGAGGCUGGGAAUCAAGGUAUUAUCUCCCCAGGGUUUGUUUCUAAUCCUGUGAUGUUUAUUAGAACUGCCAGGUGCCCUCUCAAAGUUUCCGGUUGAGUUCUGCUUGGACCCAUGGCACUAGCUGGUGUCUGAACCUACACAGAGGACACAGUGCUGGAAUUUUGAGAAUGAGACUUGCUGAUACCAAAUGGCACAGAGACUUUGCAUCAUCUGUUAAUAGCAGAAAUUAAUUUGAUUUUCACUUCUACACUGGAAGACAGUUAUAUCUAAACCUUCAGCCCACCGUAACCUUGGUGGGCAAGCCCUGUGUAAGUCAUGCAGAGCCAAAGUGGGAUGAUGAUAAUUUCCACUCUCGGUAGGCUGACAAACAAAAAGCUUUGGUUGUCUUUAAUGAGAUCUGAUGAGCCACAAGAACAGCAUCAUUUCAUCUGUGUCUGAGCGCUUCAGCACAGACACAACAUGGAAUUGAUGACAAAAGUGUGUGGCAGCGGUUACUGCCAUGAGAGUUGUUCUGGGAGAAAACACAAAAAAAAUCAUUUAACUCCCUCCUUCACCUCUGCAAGUUAACUGGGACGUGCUUUAUUCCCGGCACAAUUAUAAAUUUAAAAAUGAGUGCAGUCAGAGCUGUAGCUGAAGAGGGACUGGAUGGUGCCACAGCAUAGGCUGGAGCAGAGUUUACAAAAAGCUGCCUUUUAAAUCUUAUGCCUACAUUCUGUUUCUCUCUGGAACAAAAUAUGGUACUUCCAGCCUACAAUAUGAAGUGAGUCAUAAUAUUGCCAUUCUGCUCCCAGCAUAAUUGGAGCAUACCUAUGGUAUGAAGUGGGAGAAAUAUUUGGCCAAGAAGAAAGCUCCAGAAUUUUAUGUACUGUCAAGACGUGCUUAAUAAAUGGAGAGUAUUAUUUUCAUAUUGCGUAAUUCAGACUUUCCUCAUUCUGGGGUUGUUUCAGCAAAACAUGCAAGUGUGUGCUUAUCUUUAAUUAGUGUUUAAGCCAAGAUGACUGUUAAUAUACUUAUGGGAAGGACUUUUCAAAGGGCUAGGCUUCUUGACAUGCGUGAAGGCAACCAUGUGCUUGCAUCUGCAUAGCGGCUGAAGGAACUCUUGCAGGUAGACAUGGAGGAUGGGUGGAGGUGGCAGAAAGCACGUAUGUUUGCCAUGAUCUGUGGUCAUUUAUCCUGUGCUUCUGCUGUUUUCCUAAGGGCAGACUUUAGCAGUCUCUGCUAUCACCCAUGUGAGCAUGGACUCAGCUGGAAAGGCUUUAGGGCAGGGUAUGAAGCCCUCAUCCUGACAAUGACAAUGAGCACAUUGCCCUCAGCAGACCAGAUUUCAUUCCCUGCGUGUGAAGAGACUCUGAGACAGAGAGGAAUGAUCAUGUUGUAUGUGGCUGGCUAUGAAAUAUUUUGGCAAAGGAAUCAGGGCUUGAUCUUGAGCUCUUCCAGGUGAAAAAUACAGUCAGGAGUAAUGUGAACACAAAAUGGCAAGUGAGGCAGCUCGUGGGUGAAGUUCUGGUCUACAACACCAGUGACUUGGCCUUGAUUCCUGACCUCAGCUGUGUGCCUUUCCCAAUGCCAGUGUUUCCCUCCAAAUAAAAUGGUAGCAUUGAAAUAAAUUUGCUUUUAAAUGAAGCCUGAUGAACUCUCAUAUAUCACUGUGGUUAUACAAGCAACAGUCCAUGGGUUGAACUUACUGUUUACUUAGCAUAGCUCACUUCUCUGCAUUAACUGCUGUUAUUGUUAACUGCUGUGAUGCCUGCUGUCUACAGGGCUUUCAUGAUCAAGAAUAUAUAAAAUAACAGUUGUUCAUUUUAUUUUUAAGCAUUCAAUAGCGUGCAGUGAGUUGCUCAACAUUAGGCAGUGUGUGCAUUAUUAUACUGUGCUCUCAUAUGAAAUGUUUUUUGACCAAACAGCCCAAAAAUCUCUCUUGCCCUUGGUGAUGAGAGCUCACAGAAUCAGAACACCAAUGAACAUUUGAACCCUCCGGAGUGUGAAGUAAUAAUGGCCAGCUGGUGUCAUUUCAGUUGGGAAAGCAGUGAGCAAAUGGCUAAGAUAUGAGGAUUAAAUCUGGUUUAUACCACACCACUGAGGACCUCUAAGAGACUGGUUUGGAUUGGUUUUCAGAGGAUUUCAGAACAAAGGGUUUUCUCAAAAUCUCUGCCCUUUCUGAAUAACAACAUUCCUCUGUUCAAGCAGGAUCUUUGGACUUCCAGUUUAAGAAUAAAUUCUGGAAAACAGAUGGAUCUACCGCUGCUGAGAUCCUCUAGUCAAAUUAAGAAGAGAAAACCAACAGGACAUAUAUGCCUAUAUAUCACUUGAAACUCCUUUCCUUCUGUUAAAACAAUAAAUUGUUAUUGCUGUGCUCAUGGGCAGCCUGCAUUCUCCAAGCAGACUCCAUGUUGUUGAACAGAGAAAUUGAUGAAGUCAGACAUUUCCCAGGAUAUGAUGGUCAGCGAUGGACUGGUACUCAGGAAGCCAAAGAUAAUGCAAUCUGGGUAUGGAAAAAAUGUAUGUCUUCUUAUAAACACAGGAAAACAGUGAAGACAAAUUAAUUUGAUCUUAUGCAUACAUUCAUCAUCAUAAGCUUAUGAUUCCUUUUGUAAUUCUUUAACAAAGUGAAACAAUGAUUUGAAGAAUAUCAGAGCGGUAUCCUCUUGAGUUGCUCACAUCAGCCAGUGUUUGUUCUAACAAAUUUGCUUUCCUUCACAGUAAUUUUUCUUCAGAGUUUUUUUUACCAACCCUGUUCCUUUGGACGUAUUGAUUUCCCAUAGGCUUGCAUCUUCCUACAUUAAGAUUUGGGUUUUUUUUAAAGCUGGCUACAUGUCUGGGAACUACACACCCUUGCGUUCCAAGAGGGCAGAGGGAGGUAUUUCUAGAAAUAGCAAAAUGACAAACAAAUAGUGAGAAAUUCUGGUCUUGGCCACCUUACUAUAAACUCAGCCCAUAGGUCUUUUUUCAGAACUGAGGUUUCCCAUCUGUCAAUGGGUGGAUUUAAAUUCCAGCGGAUGUUGAAGAGACAUCUGGAGUGUAUCCAUUGCACUCCCAGAGUCAGUGAGCAUCACCCAGUUACCAUAUAUUUUUUGCUGACCUAAGGGAAUAUGUGGUCUUCCCUCCAAAUGGGUGACUGCAGAAAUUCUGAUGUGUCUAACAUCCUCUUGUACAGCUACUAAGAGUCUCUGAUACUGAGACUCCUUCUUAGUGCUUGUCCUUCCAUAACCAAACUUAAUGAGUGUCUUUUAUAAACUAAUGGGGUGGGUGCUGAGGAAUGAACCAGAAACCUUCAGCCUUCAAGGAAGCUGAAUCAGUGGAUUUGAACCUGACUGGAACAAAAAUGAGGACAGGAGAUUUUCCAAGGAACCCAAUGUGCUUCUUUUCAAAACUCAGCAACAGAAUUUGAAUGGGCUCUCAAGUUCCACGUGAUGCCUUCAAAAACUCCAGCACAAGUUUUAAGGGAGAGAAAGAGGAGAUUUUCCAUCCUCCCACAUUCCAAAGUGCCCAAACAAGGAGAAAAGUGUUCCAUUUUUUCUACACCAGAAAUGACUCCAUUGUACAAAGCAAAUGCCAGGGCCCAGGUUUGUUCUAGUUUUUGCACGUAUUUUUCAAGUCAGUGUUUAUUUUGCCUGAUCUGCCCUGACUUUCUGGUUCCUGUUUCUGUUGUCUCCCAUUGUUGCUGGUGAACUUUGGCCCUUACCGGGAUUAUGGUGGAGUUGCCUUUGUUUGAGGAGGUACAUGGGAGAUUUUUCAAUGCUGUUGUGCUGUGAGAAAAGGAGGGGCAGCACUUUUGGCUUUUCCAUCCCAUUCUACCCCUCUUAUCUCCUCCUGCCUCUCCUCUGGGCUGUAUUUUAUCAGCAGCUAUCCUGGCACUUGUGGUUGCUUUUUGCCCACUAUCCCAUAUUGAGGCGUGGAGCUGCCAUGCCCCUGCCCCAUGCCAAAUGCCAUAUGUGUUCCUCUGCUGACCAAUCUCCUUCUCUUCUGUACCUACUAUUCAAGUAGAUGAAGGGAAAUUAAGCUCAUUUGCUACCACCUGUAAUUAGCUGGAGUUACAUCUCUGAGAUGGUGAAUGGCUUUAGGACUGCUGCCUUUGUUUAGCAAUGUGCAUCUGUGCAAAUGAUUUGGAGGAAAAUUCCAUAAAGCAGAAACCACAGACACUUCUCUAACUGCUUCUGUAAAUUGGUAUAACAAAGUAAGUCAGGAAAAUAAUUCCCAAAUGUGUCUUCUUUG